AACAAAAAGGAGAAAGUAAAGCUGAACAAAAAGAAGAAGACCAAGUAAAAAAAAGAAAGGGAAGAAGUGGAGAGGAGACAGAUAUGAAAAUAACGAAGGAACAGCUGGACAGAUGAACAAGGUUAUUCAAGGGAGGGGCGGCUCUGACAACAGAAAAGCUUUGUGCUGUAUGGAAUAUAGAAUUAGUAAAGAUAUCAUGUAUAUUUUGAUUCCUGCAUAUAGCGUAGACAUUCACGGAUGUUCUCUGUACAUUGGACACAGUAUCCUGUGAUGAUUCUCAUGUUAUUGAUGUCUUUUGUUAAUAUGGAGAGAGCAUUUCAUCAUAAUUUGACUUUUUUUUUAAGAACCUGUUGAAUUUGAGCAGUCUUGAUAGUUUUGAAUUUCAUCUGUUUCAAUGCUGAUGCAUGAAACAACCCAAUCGUUGAGACUUACUUAAUUUCAAAAAUAUUUAAACAUAGUGAAUGAAUUAAACGGCUGUGUCGUAUUGGUGUUUAUACCUUUGACCUUUGCGCUGUUGAAUUCCUGAAGCUGUUUGGUCAAAAUGUUUAUUUUCUAAAACAAUCUGCAUUUAUUUUUGUCUUAUUAACUGAGAGAGA